CAUCCUUAUGAAGAACAAUAUUAGGAAAUAAAAGUAGUGGACUGAUAUCCAUUGAUGAGCAAUGAAUCUGAGGGAUG
rfam:Gossypium raimondii chromosome 2, whole genome shotgun sequence.